GAGGGNNGCGAGCGUUAAUNGAAUUACUGGGCGUAAAGCGCAUGCAGGUGGUUUGUUAAGUCAGAUGUGAAAGCCCGGGGCUCAACCUCGGAAUUGCAUUUGAAACUGGCAGACUAGAGUACUGUAGAGGGGGGUAGAAUUUCAGGUGUAGCGGUGAAAUGCGUAGAGAUCUGAAGGAAUACCGGUGGCGAAGGCGGCCCCCUGGACAGAUACUGACACUCAGAUGCGAAAGCGUGGGGAGCAAACAGGAUUAGAUACCCUGGUAGUCCACGCCGUAAACGAUGUCUACUUGGAGGUUGUGGCCUUGAGCCGUGGCUUUCGGAGCUAACGCGUUAAGUAGACCGCCUGGGGAGUACGGUCGCAAGAUUAAAACUCAAAUGAAUUGACGGGGGCCCGCACAAGCGGUGGAGCAUGUGGUUUAAUUCGAUGCAACGCGAAGAACCUUACCUACUCUUGACAUCCAGAGAACUUUCCAGAGAUGGAUUGGUGCCUUCGGGAACUCUGAGACAGGUGCUGCAUGGCUGUCGUCAGCUCGUGUUGUGAAAUGUUGGGUUAAGUCCCGCAACGAGCGCAACCCUUAUCCUUGUUUGCCAGCGAGUAAUGUCGGGAACUCCAGGGAGACUGCCGGUGAUAAACCGGAGGAAGGUGGGGACGACGUCAAGUCNUCNUGGCCCUUACGAGUAGGGCUACACACGUGCUACAANGGCGCAUACNGAGGGCGGCCAACUUGCGAGAGUGAGCGAAUCCCANAAANUGCGUNGUANUCCGGAUUGGNGUNUGCNANUUGNNUCCCANAAGUCGGAAUCGCUAGUAAUCGUGGAUCAGAAUGCCACGGUGAAUACNUUCCCGGGCNUUGUACNCACCGCCCGUAA
rnacentral:rRNA from 1 species